rnacentral:rRNA from 1 species
GAUGAACGCUAGCGGCAGGCUUAGCACAUGCAAGUCGAGGGGCAGCAGGGGUAGCAAUACUCGCUGGCGACCGGCAAACGGGUGCGGAACACGUACACAAUCUACCUUUAUCUGGGGUAUAGCCCGAAGAAAUUCGGAUUAAUCCCCCAUAAGAUAUUAGAGUGGCAUCACUUCGAUAUUAAAACUCCGGUGGAUAAAGAUGAGUGUGCGUCCCAUUAGCUAGUUGGUAGGGUAACGGCCUACCAAGGCAACGAUGGGUAGCUGGUGUGAGAGCACGACCAGCCACACGGGCACUGAGACACGGGCCCGACUCCUACGGGAGGCAGCAGUGAGGAAUAUUGGUCAAUGGACGCAAGCCUGAACCAGCCAUGCCGCGUGAAGGAUGAAGGCCCUCUGGGUUGUAAACUUCUUUUAUUGGGGAAGAAAAUUACGGUUUCUACUGUAACCGACGGUACCCAAGGAAUAAGCACCGGCUAACUCCGUGCCAGCCGCCGCAGUAAAAC